GUACAUUUUCUAUUUUAUAAGAAAUGCUAGUGAAUCAAAAAGAGGAGGUGAAGAGUUUUUGGCAUCAAAAAAAUAGACUAUCGAUCAAGACUAUUAUGUCAUCCCAAUGACAGCAAGAAAAAGGGCAAAGCAAGAUGAACGGAUUGAUAGAGAUCAAAAUCAUGUUCAUUAUCUAUGGGAAAGUUUACCCCUAACAAAUGCAUAGUUUUACUG
rnacentral:misc_RNA from 1 species